GUAACAGAAGUAGCUUGUUAUUAGCUGACGACCGGCGCACGGGUGCGUAACGCGUAUACAAUCUACCUUUUACAGAGGAAUAGCCCAGAGAAAUUCGGAUUAAUGCCUCAUAGUAUUAUAAAGUGGCAUCAUUUAGUAAUUAAAAUUUCGUGGGUAAAAGAUGAGUAUGCGUUCUAUUAGCUAGAUGGUAAGGUAACGGCUUACCAUGGCAACGAUAGAUAGGGGUCCUGAGAGGGAGAUCCCCCACACUGGUACUGAGACACGGACCAGACUCCUACGGGAGGCAGCAGUGAGGAAUAUUGGACAAUGGAGGUAACUCUGAUCCAGCCAUGCCGCGUGCAGGAAGACGGCCCUAUGGGUUGUAAACUGCUUUUAUAUAGGAAGAAACCGUUCCACGUGUGGAAAUCUGACGGUACUAUAUGAAUAAGCACCGGCUAACUCCGUGCCAGCAGCCGCGGUAAUACGGAGGGUGCAAGCGUUAUCCGGAAUCAUUGGGUUUAAAGGGUCCGUAGGCGGGCUAAUAAGUCAGGGGUGAAAUACCACAGCUCAACUGUGGAACUGCCUUUGAUACUGUUAGUCUU
rnacentral:rRNA from 1 species